AUACGGAGGGUGCAAGCGUUACUCGGAAUCACUGGGCGUAAAGGAUGCGUAGGCUGGAAAUCAAGUCGAGAGUGAAAUCCAACGGCUCAACCGUUGAACUGCUCUCGAAACUGGUUACCUAGAAUAUGGGAGAGGUAGAUGGAAUUGGUGGUGUAGGGGUAAAAUCCGUAGAUAUCACCAGGAAUACCGAUUGCGAAGGCGAUCUACUGGAACAUUAUUGACGCUGAGGCAUGAAAGCGUGGGGAGCAAACAGGAUUAGAUACCCUGGUAGUCCACGCCCUAAACGAUGCACACUAGUUGUUGCGAUGCUAGUCAUUGCAGUAAUGCACUUAACAGAUUAAGUGUGCCGCCUGGGGAGUACGGUCGCAAGAUUAAAACUCAAAUGAAUUGGCGGGG
rnacentral:rRNA from 1 species